AUUUUCAGACUUUCACAGCCUUCAUACCAUCGACUAUUUGAUCAUCUAAGCAAUGGAUAUCAAGGCAAUUGCUAAUAACUGCGUGGAUUUGGGUCCUGCUUUGGCAAGCUGCAUAUGACACAGGAAGCGGAACGUUCCCGGUCUGUAAAUCGUCCGAGUGUAUGCAAAGAGCCAAACUAAUAAAUGAAUCACUCAACACCAGCAUUGAUCCUUGCGUGGACUUCUAUUCAUACGUUUGCGACCGCUGGGAAAGCAAUCAUCCUCUUACAGACGGUCGGAAAAGCUAUAAUGUUUACGACGAGAUUCAUAAAGAUAUUCCGGAAACGCUGAGUUGUAAGUCAUUCUUUCUAUUUCAUGUAAAUAGUCGUGAAAC